rnacentral:rRNA from 1 species
GGGUGAGUAACACGUGGGGAACCUGCCCCAUAGUCUGGGAUACCACUUGGAAACAGGUGCUAAUACCGGAUAAGAAAGCAGAUCGCAUGAUCAGCUUAUAAAAGGCGGCGUAAGCUGUCGCUAUGGGAUGGCCCCGCGGUGCAUUAGCUAGUUGGUAAGGUAACGGCUUACCAAGGCAAUGAUGCAUAGCCGAGUUGAGAGACUGAUCGGCCACAUUGGGACUGAGACACGGCCCAAACUCCUACGGGAGGCAGCAGUAGGGAAUCUUCCACAAUGGACGCAAGUCUGAUGGAGCAACGCCGCGUGAGUGAAGAAGGUUUUCGGAUCGUAAAGCUCUGUUGUUGGUGAAGAAGGAUAGAGGUAGUAACUGGCCUUUAUUUGACGGUGAUCAACCAGAAAGUCACGGCUAACUACGUGCCAGCAGCCGCGGUAAUACGUAGGUGGCAAGCGUUGUCCGGAUUUACUGGGCGUAAAGCGAGCGCAGGCGGAAGAAUAAGUCUGAUGUGAAAGCCCUCGGCUUAACCGAGGAACUGCAUCGGAAACUGUUUUUCUUGAGUGCAGAAGAGGAGAGUGGAAUUCCAUGUGUAGCGGUGGAAUGCGUAGAUAUAUGGAAGAACACCAGUGGCGAAGGCGACUCUCUGGUCUGCAACUGACGCUGAGGCUCGAAAGCAUGGGUAGCGAACAGGAUUAGAUACCCUGGUAGUCCAUGCCGUAAACGAUGAGUGCUAAGUGUUGGGAGGUUUCCGCCUCUCAGUGCUGCAGCUAACGCAUUAAGCACUCCGCCUGGGGAGUACGACCGCAAGGUUGAAACUCAAAGGAAUUGACGGGGGCCCGCACAAGCGGUGGAGCAUGUGGUUUAAUUCGAAGCAACGCGAAGAACCUUACCAGGUCUUGACAUC